GACGAGCGCUGGCGGCGUGCUUAACACAUGCAAGUCGAACGGGCCUUGUCCCCUUUUUUUUUGGGGGUGGGGUUAGUGGCGAACGGGUGAGUAACACGUGAGUAACCUGCCCCUCACUUCUGGAUAACCGCUUGAAAGGGUGGCUAAUACGGGGUGUUCUGGCCUGCUCGCAUGGGUGGGUUUGGAAAGAUUCGACCGGUCUUGGUGGUUUUGGUGGGGGAUGGGCUCGCGGCCUAUCAGCGUGUUGGUGGGGGGAGGGCCUUCCAAGGCUUUUGCGGGGCGCCCGCAUGAGGGGGUUGGCCGUCACACUGGGGCUGAGACCCGCCCCAGACUCACACGGGAGGCAGCAGUGGGGAAUAUUGCACAAUGGGCGCAAGCCUGAUGCAGCGACGCCGCGUGAGGGAUGGAGGCCUUCGGGUUGUGAACCUCUUUCGCCAGUGAAGAAGGUCCUGCUCUUUGUGGUGGGGUUGACGGUAGCUGGGUUAAUGAAGCGCCGGCUAACUACGUG
rnacentral:rRNA from 1 species